ensembl:lncRNA
UUUUUUGGGUGUCUUUGUGGAUGGGACUGGUACUUUCUGUAUCUAGGAGUACAAAUGGCCAAAGUACUGCACUGGAGUACUACUGAAAGACCUUGGAGAAGAUCUAGCCAAAGAAUUUAUCAUUUCAACCCGAGGAAAAUAGAAUUGACAAAUCAACAAAAUCCCUGAAAUUUAAGGUGUCUGUAUUUCUGAAGACCCAACUUUUGCUAAGAAGGAAACUGUGUUCACAGAGGAGCAUUGUGAUUCACAACUUUUAACAAUGAAGCAGCACAGGAAGAAUUCACAGUGCAAAAGGAGUCAGGAGAUGAACACAGACAAGAGGCAGGAGUACCAACAGAGCACUGUGGAUCAGCACAGCAUAAGCCAGCAGGAAACAUUUCAAGCAGUUGUUGCAGAAAAUGAGUAUUUCAAGGUAAGGUUU